AAGCCAUGCAUGUCUAAGUAUAAGCAAUUAUACCGUGAAACUGCGAAUGGCUCAUUAAAUCAGUUAUCGUUUAUUUGAUAGUACCUUACUACUUGGAUAACCGUGGUAAUUCUAGAGCUAAUACAUGCUAAAAACCCCGACUUCGGGAGGGGUGUAUUUAUUAGAUAAAAAACCAAUGCCCUUCGGGGCUCCUUGGUGAAUCAUAAUAACUUAACGGAUCGCAUGGCCUUGCGCCGGCGACGGUUCAUUCAAAUUUCUGCCCUAUCAACUUUCGAUUGUAGGGUAUUGGCCUACAAUGGUAUCAACGGGUAACGGGGAAUUAGGGUUCGAUUCCGGAGAGGGAGCCUGAGAAACGGCUACCACAUCCAAGGAAGGCAGCAGGCGCGCAAAUUACCCAAUCCCGACACGGGGAGGUAGUGACAAUAAAUACUGAUACAGGGCUCUUUUGGGUCUUGUAAUUGGAAUGAGUACAAUUUAAAUCCCUUAACGAGGAACAAUUGGAGGGCAAGUCUGGUGCCAGCAGCCGCGGUAAUUCCAGCUCCAAUAGCGUAUAUUAAAGUUGUUGCAGUUAAAAAGCUCGUAGUUGAACCUUGGGCCUGGCUGGCCGGUCCGCCUCACCGCGUGCACUGGUCCGGCCGGGCCUUUCCUUCUGGAGAGCCGCAUGCCCUUCACUGGGUGUGUCGGGGAACCAGGACUUUUACUUUGAAAAAAUUAGAGUGUUCAAAGCAGGCCUUUGCUCGAAUACAUUAGCAUGGAAUAAUAGAAUAGGACGUGCGGUUCUAUUUUGUUGGUUUCUAGGACCGCCGUAAUGAUUAAUAGGGAUAGUCGGGGGCAUCAGUAUUCAAUUGUCAGAGGUGAAAUUCUUGGAUUUAUUGAAGACUAACUACUGCGAAAGCAUUUGCCAAGGAUGUUUUCAUUAAUCAGUGAACGAAAGUUAGGGGAUCGAAGACGAUCAGAUACCGUCGUAGUCUUAACCGUAAACUAUGCCGACUAGGGAUCGGGCGAUGUUAUUAUUUUGACUCGCUCGGCACCUUACGAGAAAUCAAAGUUUUUGGGUUCUGGGGGGAGUAUGGUCGCAAGGCUGAA
rnacentral:rRNA from 1 species